rnacentral:rRNA from 1 species
GAUGAACGCUGGCGGCGUGCCUAAUACAUGCGAGUCGAGCGAACGGACGCGAAGCUUGCUUCUCUGAUGUUAGCGGCGGACGGGUGAGUAACACGUGGAUAACCUACCUAUAAGACUGGGAUAACUUCGGGAAACCGGAGCUAAUACCGGAUAAUAUUUUGAACCGCAUGGUUCAAAAGUGAAAGACGGUCUUGCUGUCACUUAUAGAUGGAUCCGCGCUGCAUUAGCUAGUUGGUAAGGUAACGGCUUACCAAGGCAACGAUGCAUAGCCGACCUGAGAGGGUGAUCGGCCACACUGGAACUGAGACACGGUCCAGACUCCUACGGGAGGCAGCAGUAGGGAAUCUUCCGCAAUGGGCGAAAGCCUGACGGAGCAACGCCGCGUGAGUGAUGAAGGUCUUCGGAUCGUAAAACUCUGUUAUUAGGGAAGAACAUAUGUGUAAGUAACUGUGCACAUCUUGACGGUACCUAAUCAGAAAGCCACGGCUAACUACGUG